AACGCUGACUGUCCUGCCCGUGGACAGAAGAGUACUGUGUCAGCGAGUGAGGUCAGUGUUCCAUGCCCCAUGCCAGGCCAGCCCCACAUGGCCAGACCACGGCAGGCUACCACAGAGAACACAGUAACACCGUCAUCUCCUUCGUAAUGUGUUGUGCAUAGUGCAUAGUAGACACCCAACACGUUUUUGAGUGAUAUAAUUAUAAAAUAUCGUGUGAAUGUGAGGGUCUCACUGUCCUACGGCAACCCGAUGGGCAGUAACAGUCAAAAGUGUGGAUCAACGACGACACGACAAUGACAACAACGACGAAACAAACUACAGGAGUCAACGACGCGUGAGGCAGGUUAUACCAAGGGGAGUGCCCCACUUUCCGCCCCCUUCAGACGGACUGACAGGGAAGAGUGUGAUGGAAAUACGUUCGUGCAGAGUAGUAGCAAGAGCUAGUCAUGGAGAGAAACAAAUCUGAAAGGGGCAGUCCACCCGGGCUGGAUCCAACAGAUAUCGUUGCUGAAGACAUAGACCUGGAGUCAGUGAUGGAGGAAGGCCUGGGGUCAAUAGAUGGCAGAGUUGAAAGACUGCUACAUACCGUCACGCAACCAUGGCAGAAUGAAAGGAACUUGAACGCUAGGACACUGCCUAAGAAUCUGGGCACCAUGCAGCAGCUGUUUGAACGCAGUCAACAAAUACAACAGAUGUUUACCCACGUGUCAACCAUGGUAAGAGACUUUACCGAAGGUGUAAAUCAGUUACGUGCAACAAAGAGCACAGAAAAUUGUCAAGUGAUGUCGAAUUUGGCUGCUAAAGGAUCCUCUCCUAUUGUUGGCUUAGAAAUGGCUCCUGGGCGUGCGGGAAGCUUGUCAGUUACUUCAGUAUCUGAACCACGAUUAUCUCACCAGGGGAGUAUGCGAAUAUUGCCCGAAUUAGUACAACCUGUCAAGUGAUGUCGACUUUGUCUGCUGCUACUAAAGGAACCUCUCCUGCUGGCACAGAAAUGAUUCCUGAGCGUGCGGGAAGCUCGUCAGUCGCUUCAGUGUCUGAAUCGGAACUGUCUCACCAGGGGGAGUAUGAGGAUACUGCCCGAGUCCGUACUGGCCCGACCAACCCGACUACACUCUCAACAAACAGACAGACCGGGGACGAUAAUAACUCACUCAGAUCAUCGAUGCAAUCAAGAAACCAAGAGAGCCAGGAACUAACUGUUACAUCAAGGAGCGAAGAAUGGAUGAAGGAGUUACUAACCAUUUUAAAACUCUCCCAGAAGCCACUGCCCACUUUCAACGGGGGCUCAUGUGCCGACUACUGGGCAUUCAAACGUGCCUUCCAACGUCACGUUCGAGAGGAUGGGAUAUCAGACCGCCAAAGGUUGGGAUAUCUGAUUGCAGUCUAUUCUGGCCCAGCAAAGCAAGAGUUGUGCGACUGUCAGGAACUGGAGGAUCUCAUGGAAGGAUAUAAGAAAGCCUGGGAGCUGCUGGAAACCAGACAUGGUAACAAACGCACAUACAUUCAGCACUUAAUGAAAGGGGUCUGUCGGGGACCAAGCGUGAGGAUGAAUGAUAUCAAAAGGCCUACGCCUUUUCACGGAUGCCUUGAACACCUGCGUGAGGGACUUGAAGGUUAUGGGAGAACUAAAGCAAAUUGAAACGUAUGAAUCCAUGCGUGUCAUAACAAGGAGAUUUAAGGGAAAGCUGAGAGACGACUACGUGGAUGAGUCACACAGACAUGAGGAACUGGACAGUGCCACCUCAUGCGACGCCGAAUGGUUGUUAACAUUUACGAAGAACAUGCUCAGAAAGGCAGAGAAGGACAGAGAACAGAUAGAAGAGCCAAGUGGACAACAUGCAAACCCGUCAUGUAAGUCCCUACCAACUCAGAAGACUAUGGAACUGAUGACUGCAGCGUCAAAGGUGACAGACAGUAGUCUAACACAGAGUGCUCUUUGUGUCAGGAACGUCAUCACAUCGAAACAUGUAGGUGCUUCAUUGAUUUGAGCACAAGUGACCGCCUCUCGCUAGUACGACGAGAGCGGCGGUGCUUCUCAUGCUUCGGUCAUAACCACUGGAUAGCAACAUGUUCCCGAAAGGUGUUGUGUGGGACUGACGGCUGCCUAGAAUUUCAUUCCCGCCUCUUACAUUUCACAGGAAGUACACUUAACAGGCAUAUCAAAGUAAGAAUAGCGAGGCACCCUGAUGCUUAUCAAGGACUAAAAAGAACUCACCUUGAAGGCACCUCAUCAUCUCCCCAUAAAAAAUUAAGAUAGACACUACUACUGGCCAUUAUGCCAUCAGACCCAUCCACUAGUGGCACCAGUUCUCAAGCGAACAUCUUCCCAAAGAAGGGAAAUAGAAGUGAAAUCACCACUCUGGUGACCUUCGACAAGAACAAGAAAGACCCCUUCAGAUGGAUCAGCACCAAACAGACGGGAGACGAGGUUGUUUCAAUAAUAGAUGCCUCUUAUUAUAAGGCGUGACUAAGGAGCCCAAACAGAGUAGUUCUUCCCAUUGUAAAGCUGAAAGUGGGAUCCAAGAGCCAGAAUCCAGGAAACUUCAUUACUGGUGCCCUCUUAGACUAAGGUAGUGAUAGAUCUUAUUGUACGCGUGGUCAAACUGAUCGUCUACAAGCCAAGGGGAAGCCAAUAGAGUUAACCAUUGGCACGACCGUGAGUGAAGAAACAAAACUAAACACUAAAGAACUUGAUCUAAUGGUGAGCAGCACCGGAAUAAGAAGUUGAACUGCCCCUAUCCUCCAAAUUAUCGUGGUGACGGAACUCCCGUCUUCUCCGAAAGAGUCUGUCGCAAAGGUUAAUGAUAUGGAGGUGUGGUCUUACCUUUGAGGCAUCGUACAAUGCCGUGCUCCGAAAGAAUUGGAACUAUCAAUAUGCUUAGAUGUACCCUAAGCACUAGUACCACUAGAGGUAGAAUCUGGAAAGGAUGGAGAGUCAUUCGUGACUUGCACCCUUCUUGGUUGGACAAUUAAUGGCCCUAAGGGAAUCAACAACCAUGAUGCAACCCCAGUAUACGGUCACGUCACCACGACAACUGCACAAAAUGAAAGAAAACAUGUGGGUCACCAAGACAAAUCUUUCUGGAAAAUAGACAUCACCAACAAUAAAGAUGAUGACGUCUUUUUCACGACAAAAGUGUCGCAAAGCUUUGGCAGAGAACGUAAUGCAGGUGGAUGCACAUUACCAACUUCCUAUCCUACUUUGCAACAAGGACCAGGGCCUGCCAGACAACAAGGAACUUUCAGAAUGACGGUUGGAGACCCUUAGAAGACGUCUUGUCAAACAUCCGGAACUGUUCAUUCAAUAUCAAGAGGAAAUAACACGCUUACUUAGCGAAGGCCAUACUGAAUGAGUCCCCUCUCACAGUCUCAGUACUACACCUGGCAAGACCUGGUACAUCCCACAUCACCCGGUGCUAAAUCCUAAGAAACCAGAAAAGGUGAGAAUAGUGUUCAAUUGUGCAGCCACUUACCCCUUGCCAGGUCCGUAUGGCCAGACCAGGGCAGGCUACCACAAAGACCAGACCACGGCAGGCUACCACAGAGAACACAGUAACACUGCCAUCUCCUUCGUAAUGUGUUAUGCAUAGUGCAUAGUAGACAACCAACACGUAAGUUUAUCGUCUUUACAUGUGCUUAUCCCGCAUGCCACUCUGUGACUGUGUUUUAGUGUAUUUUUGUCGCUUCACAUAAUGUAUCAUGUAUUUGUGUCACAGCCGUUCUCGUUCGGUGGGAAUGCUGGGGAAAUAUGGGUGCGACCUGUUGAAGGGCCUAGUUAUUUCACCUGCAUCCUUGGCAAAGGAGAACGCGCGUAUUGUAUUUGUUUUUACCGUGAUAUAUUCUGUCAACAGGCUUUUCACUGAAAUAUAUAGUAUCGUGUCAACGUGAGGGUCUCACUGUCC